rnacentral:rRNA from 1 species
UACGUAGGUGACCAGCGUUGUCCGGAUUUACUGGGCGUAAAGAGCGCGCAGGCGGUCGUUCAAGUCGAGUGUGAAAGCCCCCGGCUCAACUGGGGAGGGUCACUCGAUACUGAUCGACUUGAAGGCAGGAGAGGGAAGCGGAAUUCCCGGUGUAGUGGUGAAAUUCGUAGAUAUUCGGAAGAACACCAGUGGCGAAGGCGGCUCACUGGCCCGGUACUGACGCUGAGGUGCGAAAGCGUGGGGAGCAAACAGG